rfam:Gossypium raimondii Chr11_contig_510, whole genome shotgun sequence.
UUCAUGGAGAGUUCGAUCCUGGCUCAGAAUGAACACUAGCGGCAUUCUUAACACAUGCAAGUCAGACGAGAAGUGGUGUUUCCAGUGGCGGAAGGGUGAGUAACGCGUAAGGAACUAUCUUUGGGAGGGGAACAACAGCUGGAAACGGCUGCUAAUACGCCAUAGGCUGAGGAGCAAAAAGAGGAAUCUGCCCCAGGAGGGGCUCGCGUUUGAUUAGUUAGUUGGUGAGGCAAUAGCUUACUAAGGCAAUGAUCAGUAGCUGGUCCGAUAGGAUGAUCAGCCACACUUGGACUAAGAAACGAGUUAGACUCCUAAGAGAGGCAGUAGUGGGGAAUUUUUCGUAAUAGGUGAAAGCCUGACGGAGCAAUACCGCGUAGAGGUAGAAGACCUAUGGGUUGUGAACUUCUUUUCCCAAAGAAGAAGAAAUAACGAUAUCCGGGGAAUAAGCAUCGACUAAAUUUGUGCCAGCAGCCGCAGUAAUACAUAGGAUGCAAGUGUUAUUUGGAAUAAUUGGGCGUAAAGCGUAUGUUGGUGGCUUUUUAAGUCCACCGUCAAAUACCAAGACUCAACCCUAGACAGGCAGUGGAAACUACUAAGUUGGACUACGGUAGAGGUAAAGGGGAUUUUCGGUGGAACGGUAAAAUACGUAGAGAUCGAAAAGAACACCAACGGUAAAAGCACUCUGCUGGAUACUAGGCGCUGUGCGUAUCGACCUGUGUAGUGUUGUAGCUAACAUGUUAAGUAUCCAGCCUAGGGAGUACGUUCACAAGAAUGAAACUCAAAAGAAUUGAUAGGGGCUCGCACAAGCGGUAGAGUAUGUGGUUUAAUUCGGUGCAAAGCGAAGAACCUUACCAAGGCUUGACAUGUCGCGAAUCCUUUUGAAAGAGAGGGGUACAUUUGGGAAUGCAGACACAGGUGGUGCAUUAUUAUUGUCAGCUCGUGCCUUAAGGUGUUGGGUUAAGUCAUCAUGCCCCUUAUACCUUGGGCGACACAUGCUACAAUGGACGGGAUAAAGGGUCGCGAUCCUGCAAGGGUGAACUAACUCCAAAAACCCGUCCUCAGUUUGGAUUGCAAGCUGUAACUCGUCUGCAUGAAGCCAGAAUUGCUAGUAAUCACCGGUCAGUAAUACGACGGUGAAUUCAUUCCCGGGCAUUGUACACAUCUCUCGUCACACUAUGGGUGCUGGCCAUACCCGAAGUUGUUACCUUAACCUCAAGGAGAGGAUGUUGAAGGCAGGGCUAGUGACUAGAGUGAAGUCAUAACAAGGUAGCCGUACUAGAAGGUGGGACUGGAUCAUCUCCUUU